AUGGUUAUUCAACUACGGCACUGUCGGACAACCGACCGGAUUCAAGCCCUAGCCCCUCAACUCGGACGGACUUGUGGAAAUCCUCGAAAACAAGUAUUGCUCAACUCACCUAUCUAUAACAUAGAAAUGUUGCAUCCAAUCCUGGAACGAGAGGUAAAGAAUAGGCUACCAUACGAGAUGAGACGACUUCAUUCUUGGCUUUCAUCCCUACGCUUAAGAAAGAUAAGGGAUUGA
rnacentral:rRNA from 1 species